AGACAGAAUGCUAACAGGAAGUCCUAUACCCACUUUUGUGUCAAAUCAAACAGUAUCAACAAUUAAAGCAAAAAGAUGCCAUGAAUUUGAAACAAGAAGUAGUCACUGGCAGGUUGUGCAUUUUCAGACAAAAAAGCAACAGUCUGUGUUAUAAGCAGCCACCGAAGGUUGUCCAGAUCUUGGGUGUUGGUUUGGAAGGGUAAUACAAACCCCAAUUGUUUCCAUUUUGAGGACCAGGCUGUUAGGAGCGGGUGUGGCGGCAGUCCCAAAGACGCCAGGGACUGUAGCUAAGUCGUAUGACUUGCACCUGACUUCCUCAUAUAAGCCACAAACAUCUUGAGAGCUGCGCAGUUGCACCAGGAUACUGGUGAAUCCAGUUUGAUGGAGAUAUGCCCCUGCUGCCCUGAUUAGCUGAAGCUGCGUGCCUGGUGAGGCGGCGUGGCCUGCUGUGCGUGGAUGAGAGUAUAAAAAGAGUGAGAGUCCCAGGGUUCGGGGAAGAUAUAAACAAGAAGAAUCAGGACUGAAUAAACUGUUGUUAGAAGGA
rnacentral:lncRNA from 1 species